UUUUCCUACGGGAGGCAGCAGUGGGGAAUAUUGCACAAUGGGCGCAAGCCUGAUGCAGCAACGCCGCGUGAGGGAUGACGGCCUUCGGGUUGUAAACCUCUUUUAGCAAGGAAGAAGCGAAAGUGACGGUACUUGCAGAAAAAGCGCCGGCUAACUACGUGCCAGCAGCCGCGGUAAUACGUAGGGCGCAAGCGUUAUCCGGAAUUAUUGGGCGUAAAGAGCUCGUAGGCGGUUUGUCGCGUCUGCUGUGAAAACCCGAGGCUCAACCUCGGGCCUGCAGUGGGUACGGGCAGACUAGAGUGCGGUAGGGGAGAUUGGAAUUCCUGGUGUAGCGGUGGAAUGCGCAGAUAUCAGGAGGAACACCGAUGGCGAAGGCAGAUCUCUGGGCCGUAACUGACGCUGAGGAGCGAAAGGGUGGGGAGCAAACAGGCUUAGAUACCCUGGUAGUCCACCCCGUAAACGUUGGGAACUAGUUGUGGGGUCCUUUCCACGGAUUCCGUGACGCAGCUAACGCAUUAAGUCCCCGCCUGGGA
rnacentral:rRNA from 1 species